rnacentral:rRNA from 1 species
UACGUAGGGUGCAAGCGUUAAUCGGAAUUACUGGGCGUAAAGCGUGCGCAGGCGGUUGUGCAAGACAGAUGUGAAAUCCCCGGGCUUAACCUGGGAAUUGCAUUUGUGACUGCACGGCUAGAGUGUGUCAGAGGGGGGUAGAAUUCCACGUGUAGCAGUGAAAUGCGUAGAUAUGUGGAGGAAUACCGAUGGCGAAGGCAGCCCCCUGGGAUAACACUGACGCUCAUGCACGAAAGCGUGGGGAUCAAACAGG